AAAAAAGACAAACUUGAUUUCCAUGUCCAACGUUUAACUGUCCGUCUUAUUUGAAAAAAUUAUAAAAUAAAUUAAAAAGAUAAGUCACGUAUAAAGUAUUAAUCAUAUUUUAUCAUCUAACAACAAUGAAAAUACUAAUUAUAAAAAAAAUACAUAUAAGACGGACAGUCAAACGUUGACACGGAAACCCAGGGUUUGCUUUUUU
rfam:Oryza glumipatula chromosome 3, whole genome shotgun sequence.